CUUGACAUAAGCAGCUGCACCAGAUGCAUGUGGGCAAGACAUUGAUGUGCCAGAGAUAAUGUUGUAUGGAACUACUCUAUUAUCCCAUUUUGAACCUGUAACAGUAGUAGCUUCAGACCACGCUGCUAAGAUGUCCACUCCAGGGGCUGUUAGGUCAGGCUUGAGAAUGUCGGCUGUUACGUGAUUAGGUCCCCUAGAAGGGAAGGAAACAACAUAGGGAGCCAAUUCAUCUUUCUCUUCGAAGCUCUUGAAUAUUGUUGCAGUUGGAUUGCUGGCAAAUUAUCAAAUGGACUCUGCUUAAUCAAUACUAUAGAUUAGAAUUAUAUGUUUCUCACUAAUGAACCUGUCAAAAGUACUUUCAGAAUACCCUGUUGUGUUUAUGUACUUCAAAAUGUCAGCUGAAUCCUCUGAGUUUACUGUGGAAACUGGUAAAGGGAAACUAAAGGCCACAUCGAUGCAAAAUCCUUGCUCCAUAACCGAGCCGACAGCACCUGCAGCUAUUGGCCCAUUCCCAGAACCGAGAUAAUCACAAAGAACAAUUUUUCCUUGUACCAAAGUCUUUUUCAAGGAACCUGGGCUGCAAUAACUGGAGUAGGUUCCACUGUAUUCUGAAGUCACAUUUGGUGCGUCUCCACCGUAGAUGAUUGGGUG
rnacentral:misc_RNA from 1 species